UCUUAUUAGUCAGUGAAGUUCUUCUUCAUUUAAGCAUACUUUCCUUCCUCUUUCUUUGCGUCGCGUAGCCUCUUCCUUUCCGCCGAUUAGUAGCCAGCUAUAUGAGCCUGCAAAAUCUUCAAUUUUCAACCAAUUCCUUCAACGACUAAUCGUCCUUCCUUUUGAUUGCAAUCCACAAAUUCCUCCGCACGCACGUGAAUUUUUGUUUUACCCCAAAAAUUAGGUCACUGAAAUUUCUUUUCCCCAAAAUCUGCGAGCCUGCAAAAUUUUCAGUUUUCUGCCAAUUGCUCCAGCAACUAAUUGUACUUCCUUUCGAUUCACUUCCAAAAAAUCCUCCUCAUCCACGUGAAUUCUUCUUUUCUCCCAAAAAACAGCUCAUUUUAGGUAUGGCUACUGUACCGAGUUAUCAUCCAUGUACAGCUUUGAGAACUUACUAUUUCCAGCCUUAUAUAUACCUUUGUUUCCCACUUUUGCCGGUAUUCAGAAGAGGAGCAAACAAAAUCUAGCCAAGCAAAGAAAAUAUAGGUCUGCUUGCUGUUCUCCUCAUGGUCUUCAUUUUCUGUACGUGCAAAAAGAAGCCUUGAGUUUCCAGAAAGUCCAUCUCAAAAUGAAGCUUUCCUGACAGACACUCCUCCUAAACGUGCAACAGAAGCUGGCAAUAUCAAAGACAGCCCAGCAAAGAAAGCUAAGCCUAAGCAAGACUGAUAUGCCCUCAUUAUGG